AAUGUGUCUCUAUGAAUUCAUCCUUCAUGAAUGAACAUCACUAAAUCUUCCUGCUCGUCGUCCGCCAUGUUUGUUUACACUAAAGUCAUGUUUUUUUUAGUUUGGACUCUUGUUGUUGAUGAA